rnacentral:lncRNA from 1 species
AUGCUCUUCCCCAGGCGAUUCAGGCGUCUAGAACCUCCUGGAAGAGGUCUAAGCCGCGGGGAGGGGGAAGGCGGAUACGAGGCGCACAUGGAUGCAGACGGCGACAGCGAAGCGCGCCGCCGGUUUCCCCUCCAAGCGGAACUGUCCUCGCCGACCAGUUUACGCCCCCAGCAGCCGCAGGGAGGUGGGCGGACGCGCGCUGCCCCCACCCAGAGGCCACGCAGCCCUCGCACGCACCAGCUGCAGCGAUCCGGCGGCGAGCGCGAGCCCCCCGGCCCGCGGGGGCUGCUCCGACCCGGCGCCCGCGGAGCCCCCGGCGUGGGCAGGGGUCCCGGCGUCCUCCAGGCCGGGCCGUCCCGGGCCCUCCCGCGCGGGCUCGGCUCCCACUCACAUCCCUGGGCGGCGAGCCCUGGGCCUGUCCCCGCGCGGCGGCCGCAGCUCUCCGCCCCGACGCGCGCCGCGAGUCCGGGCCCAGGCGCCGAGCGGCCGAGGCGGCGGCGGCAAGUCCCGAGCGCGCCGGGCGCCGGCCCAGCCUGUCAGGGCGCGGGGAGGCCGCUGGCUGCGGCCGCCGCUGCCCCCUUCGGCUCCUCUUCCUCUCUUCCUUCCUCCAAGCCCACACCACUCCCACUUCGGGCCGCCGGGAAGCCCGUCGUCACAGGCGUCGUCCCCACCCUCCCCCGGUCACACCGCCUUCUCAGCGCCUCAGGCGACACUGGCUCGGGCGCCCGGGGCGCGUCGGAGUCGGCAUCCACUCGGGAGGCCGGUUGGCGGCGGACUGAGGCGGUCCGGCGGGGCGGGGCGGGGGCGGGGCGGGGCGGGGGCGGGGGGCGGGGGCCGGCCGCGCGCCCCCGGACUGCGCCUGCGCCUGCGCGCGUGCGCCGAGCCACAGCACCGCCCUUCUCCGGGUGCGCGCGCAGUGGGCGUGGCCAGCGCCGGCCACGCACGCCCCGGGCUUCUCGGGAAGUCGGCGGGGGCGCGCGGAGAUUCCCGGGGCGUUCCCCGGGCGUGAGCGGGCGGGGAAGCUGA